GGGGCGUAGCUCAGUUGGGAGAGCACCUGCUUUGCACGCAGGGGGUCGCAGGUUCGAUUCCUGUCGCCUCC
rnacentral:tRNA from 1 species